UCCACCCCGACUGGCAGCUAGGGUUCCCGCCGGCGCCGCCACAGGCGCCGCUACCAUCCUUGCUCCGCUAUCUAUGGCCACCAGAGAAGGCGCCCUCCUGAGACCCGCUCUCGUUCAAACCUUCUCGUCUUGGCGUCAAGGCGUGCUAUUCUGCCUGGCCGCCUUGGUGGUUGCAGAUGAGGGGGAGGAAGGGAUGGCAUCAAGGUGUUGAUGGUGGCCCUAGGUCGAGACGGAGAGAUGCAGAGAUGCGGGGUGGUGCGGAUGGAGAGGCAGCUCCAGAUCCGCGCGCAGCCGCCCACACUCUCCUUCCUUCGCUGCCUUCCCUGUGCUCAGCUCCGUCUUCUCCCCGCCCUCCAUCCCCAUGUGUUCAGCAGCGACCCUAGGAGGAGCUCGAGCCACAUCGGUGAAGGUUCUCUGCUAGGUCUGGUGCUACUACUCCGUCUUCGAUCCCAGCCAUCUCGCACGUUCCUGAGAUCAUCGUCUUCCUGGCCGGGACCCCUGGUGAGAGCCUCUCUCCAUGCCCCAACUUCCUAAGCACAUACGUAUCUCCUAAUGGUGAAUCUUUGACUGAAUUUGUUACACACGACGUUUACUGAAACUAUUGUGGUCUGAAGAACAGCUUACUGAAAUUGUUCUAGUCUGAAAAACAGUUAUCUGAAUCUGUUGAAGUCUGAAAGUGUUAGUGUGAGCUGUCUGCAACUGUUGUAAUCUUGUAGACAGAGUAGAUCAGUUGAUUCAUCUCUUUUCAGCCUUAACAGAGAAGAUGGUGAUGAUA